GAAAUCACUGAUGCUGGUAUCUGAUUUCUAUGGGGGAGAAGAAGCAAAAAGAGAGGCACUAAAAAAAAAAAAACUGGUACCGUGUAAAAUAAGCUCUCCAAGAGACUCUGGUCAUACUGAGGGUCAUUCAGCUCACUGCUACAAUACACAUCACUCCCAGGAGAUGGGGAAUCUGGAGGAGAGCCUAGCCCAUUCCAGUAAUGACCUUGGGAUAAUUCAGCACUGUAGAGAGAGAUAGAGUGUGAGUGGAGGAGGGGCAGAGAGAGAGGG